rnacentral:rRNA from 1 species
GGAGUUUGGUCCGUGUCUCAGUACCAAUGUGGGGGACCUUCCUCUCAGAACCCCUACUGAUCGUCGCCUCGGUGGGCCGUUACCCCGCCGACAAGCUAAUCAGACGCAUCCCCAUCCCGCAGCGAUGAAUCUUUACUCCUCAUUAGAUGCCUGCAAAGGAGAACAUAGAGUAUUAAUCCGACUUUCGCCGGGCUAUCCUCUAAUAAGGGGAAGGUUGGAUACGCGUUACUCACCCGUGCGCCG